rnacentral:lncRNA from 1 species
GAACCGAUAAACCAACGAUUGUCCUCGAGGCCGUAGCUUCUUAUGACCUCUGGAUAUGACAUGCAUUUUUUGGAGCUCCAGGUACUAUGAACGAUCUAAAUAUUCUUGAUCGAUCACCUGUUUUUGAUGACAUUAUUAACGGAGUUGCUCCGGAAGUCAACUUCCAUGUUAACGGAAGGGAGUACAAUUUGGCCUACUAUCUCACUGAUGGUAUUUAUCCAGAAUGGGCGACAUUUAUUCGAUCUAUCCGACUACCACAGGGUCCAAAACAUUCCCUAUUUGCUACAGCCCAAGAAUCAGUCCGAAAAGACGUUGAGCGUGCCUUUGGAGUCCUACAAGCUAGAUUCGCCGUUAUUAAAAAUCCAUCUAGUUUAUGGAAAAAAUCGAAGAUAGCCAAUAUUAUGAGAGCAUGUAUCAUACUCCAUAAUAUGAUUGUCGAAGAUGAACGACGUACAGACGAUCAAGAUGAGACGUUUCAAGAUCAGGAUGUUUCAUUUUGCGUUAAGAUGCCUACAGAGAUUUUUAGUUCACUUGAUCGUCGAGCAAGAGUUCGGGAUAGACCAGUCCAUCAACAAUUGAAACAUGAUUUGAUCGAACAUAUAUGGGAUAAAUUUGGACCUUAAAAUUAAAAUCGGUGACUUUUAUGUUAUUGUAAUUUUUUUUAACAGUAUCAGUAAUUUUUUUCCAACUUUGUAAUUUUUUUUUCUACUUUGUAAUUUUUUUUUUCAACUUUGUAAUAUUCAUAUGUUUAAUGUUAUAUGUUUUAUCAUAAAAUCCUACCAAACAAUUUACAAAAAAAACAAAAUUUAAUAUUUUGCUAAGAACCUACCAAAACUUCUACCAAUAAUCUUUACUUUUACUCAUGUAUCUUACCAAAAUCUCUUAAUCUAAUUAUAUUAUUAAAGUAAUACUAAGAUAUGCAAUUGCAUAUCUAGCAAUGCUGAUUCUACUGUCAUCGUUCAUUAACCUUGGCCAUCUAAUUGUUUUUGCAGGUUUAGUAUCUAUGGGAAGGUACAGCUACAGCCAACCUUCAAGCUCGGAUCCGUAUGGUGACAGGGCUGACAGUGGGUACAGCGAGACGGAGGAGUUAAUCCGUCGUGACCAAGCUGAAAUAAGCUUGAAUUAUGGUGAAGUGGCUACGUAUCCUCCGCAACCCGAGGUGGAGUUCGGUUUCCCACACACUUGUUACUGUGGUGGCCAACCACGUUUAGCAACAUCAAGAACAAGCACCGAUCCAGGGAGACUGUACUACACAUGCGACCACGUUGAUGACGGCGACUGCCAUGUAUGGAAGUGGUGGGACGUCGCCGUGAUGGAGGAGAUGAAGGCGAGGGAAAACCAGCUAUUUCUAUUAGAGGAAAAGGUAGAUAAUCUUAACUUAAUGUCUGACCUUGAGACAGAGGAGAAGCUAGUUAGACUAGAGAAGUUAGUUGAGGAGAAAUUAGCUAAGAAGAAAUCUACUGUUAUCGGUGGGGUUGAAGUAGUUAUUGGUGUAAUGCUCAUAGUUUUAGUUGUAAUAGGUCUGUUGAUCGCCUUUAAGUGAUGCAAGACGAUGGUUGCGAGACUUGGCUAUGUUAUGUAAUGUCGUAUUAUCAUCUUCAACUUUCCUCUACGUGUUAUCAGCUUUGUAUCAAUGCUAUUUUGUAAGUCGUGUUUUAGUACUUUUGAAUCAAUGCUAUUUUGUUUCUUUCCUCUACAAAUCCCGUGAUCUUUAUAAACCCCAUACCCGUGACCUUUAUAAAACUCCUUACCCGUGAAUUAUAAUCCAAAACAUCAUGAAAAUCCAAAACAUCACUCAUACCCGUGAAUCCACCCCGUGUAUAAUUUGAAAAGAAACACAACACGGGAAGACAUAUGGUUCUCUAUAAAUAUGAGAGAACGUUCGAUCAUUCAACAUAUACUCAUUUCAAUUCUCUAAAGCAAUUUCAUCUACUCAUUUCAACACUAUAAUUUUUUUUCCCUAAAAAUGGCAUCUUCAUCUCAUUACCAUUACCACAAUAAUGAUGACAAUGAUGAUGAAUUUGAAUCAGUCUUUGAAGAUUUAUUAGAAAUCCCUGAUACUAUUCUGGAACCGAAAGAGCGGAAAAAACGUAUAUUUAUCGAGAGAGACCGGGAAGAAGGCCAUCGAAAGCUCUGGAAUGAUUAUUUUUCGGAAACUCCAACAUAUCCGCCCAAUAUAUUCCGGCGACGGUUUCGAAUGAGUAAGCCGUUGUUCAUGCGCAUUGUCCACCGUCUCUCUACGGAAGUUCACUAUUUUGCUCCUACACAAGAUGCACUUGGAAGGUCAAGUCUAUCACCGAUCCAAAAAUGCACGGCCGCAAUUCGUCAAUUAGCAUAUGGUGGUGGGGCCGAUACGGUAGACGAAUAUGUUCGACUUGGUGAAACAACAGCGCGGAAUUGCUUGCACCAAUUUACUGCCGCAAUUAUCGACUUGUUUGGCGAUGAAUACCUAAGACGUCCAACACCGGAGGAUCUUGAAAGACUACUACAUAAGGGAGAACAACGUGGAUUUCCCGGGAUGAUUGGAAGCAUCGACUGUAUGCACUGGGAGUGGAAGAAUUGCCCCACCGCUUGGCAUGGUAUGUAUUCACGAGGAACCGAUAAACCAACGAUUGUCCUCGAGGCCGUAGCUUCUUAUGACCUCUGGAUAUGGCAUGCAUUUUUUGGAGCUCCAGGUACUAUGAACGAUCUAAAUAUUCUUGAUCGAUCACCUGUUUUUGAUGACAUUAUUAACGGAGUUGCUCCGGAAGUCAACUUCCAUGUUAACGGAAGGGAGUACAAUUUGGCCUACUAUCUCACUGAUGGUAUUUAUCCAGAAUGGGCGACAUUUAUUCGAUCUAUCCGACUACCACAGGGUCCAAAACAUUCCCUAUUUGCUACAGCCCAAGAAUCAGUCCGAAAAGACGUUGAGCGUGCCUUUGGAGUCCUACAAGCUAGAUUCGCCGUUAUUAAAAAUCCAUCUAGUUUAUGGAAAAAAUCGAAGAUAGCCAAUAUUAUGAGAGCAUGUAUCAUACUCCAUAAUAUGAUUGUCGAAGAUGAACGACGUACAGACGAUCAAGAUGAGACGUUUCAAGAUCAGGAUGUUUCAUUUUGCGUUAAGAUGCCUACAGAGAUUUUUAGUUCACUUGAUCGUCGAGCAAGAGUUCGGGAUAGACCAGUCCAUCAACAAUUGAAACAUGAUUUGAUCGAACAUAUAUGGGAUAAAUUUGGACCUUAAAAUUAAAAUCGGUGACUUUUAUGUUAUUGUAAUUUUUUUUAACAGUAUCAGUAAUUUUUUUCCAACUUUGUAAUUUUUUUUUCUACUUUGUAAUUUUUUUUUUCAACUUUGUAAUAUUCAUAUGUUUAAUGUUAUAUGUUUUAUCAUAAAAUCCUACCAAACAAUUUACAAAAAAAACAAAAUUUAAUAUUUUGCUAAGAACCUACCAAAACUUCUACCAAUAAUCUUUACUUUUACUCAUGUAUCU